UUUCUCGGUUUUUUCGCCAAAAACACUGGUUUUCGGUUCGGUUAACCGACCGCCAACAACCCUAGCAUAAAUCUCUCUUUUUCCUUGAUUUAUUUCGGAUAAUAAAUUUAUUAAUUAUGAAAUAAUUAGUAAAUAGGGUUGCCGUUUUUGAGUCCUGCCGAGAUCGAGUCAUUUUUUCGGGCCUCAUUUUUAUCGGACCGGCCCGUUCGAGUAUUUUUUGGGCCUACUUUUUUUCGGGCCGGCCGGUCGAGUCUUUUUCGGGCUUCAUUUUUAUCGAACCGGGCACCGAGUUUUUUGGGCCAAAAUUCGAUGUCCGGUUCGAUCUAUUGAACCGAACAAUUGAACCGAAACCGCCGGCUUUGUUGGUUUUACGGUCAGUUUUAUUGGUUUUACGGACUGAGAUGAUGGCUAACAGAGACAAACGGGGGCAUUUGAAUGGUUCCGUGAGAGGUGAAAUUCUUAGAUCGUGGCAUUUGCCAAGAAAAGCAUUUGCCAAGAAUUUCUUAAUCAAAACGAAAGUUAGAGGUUCGAAGGCGAUCAGAUACCGCCCUAGUUCUGACCGUAAACGAUGCCAGCUAGCGAUCCGUCGAUGGAAAUUAUAUUUCCUUGGUGGGGAGCUUCCCGGAAACGAAAGUCUUCCGGUUCCGGGGGAAGUAUGGUUGCAAAGCUGAAACUUAAAGGAAUUGACGGAAGGGCACCACCAGGAGUGGAGCCUGCGGCUUAAUUUGACUCAACACGGGGAAACUCACCCGGCCCGGACACUGUGAGGAUUGACAGAUUGAUAGCUUUUUCAUGAUUCAGUGGAUGGUGGUGCAUGGCCGUUCUUAGUUCGUGGAGUGAUUUGUCUGGUUUAUUCCGAUAACGAGCGAGACUCUAACCUACUAAAUAGUUGGUACAUACUCUUAGUGUAUACAGCUUCUUAGAGGGAUUUGCGGCGUUCAGCCGAAAGAAAUUGAGCAAUAACAGGUCUGUGAUGCCCUUAGAUGUCCGGGGCUGCACGCGCGCUACACUGGCAAAAUCAACGUGCUUGUCCUACCCUGAAAGGGGCGGGUAAACCAUUGAAAAUUUGCCGUGAUUGGGAUCGGAAAUUGCAAUUAUUUUCCGUGAACGAGGAAUUCCAAGUAAGUGCGAGUCAUCAGCUCGCGUUGAUUACGUCCCUGCCCUUUGUACACACCGCCCGUCGCUGCCCGGGACUGAGCCAUUUCGAUAAAUUUGGGGACCGUUGAUUUAAUUUUUCUAAAUUACUUUGAUGGAAACCAAUUUAAUCGCAGUGGCUUGAACCGGGCAAAAGUCGUAACAAGGUAGCUGUAGGUGAACCUGCUGCUG
rnacentral:rRNA from 1 species